AGAAAAAGCACUCUUUUUCUCUAGGAUUUUAGAGUUAUAAUUUCUUCUCAGUUUCUCCUUCCACCCGAUUCUCUCAGAGCGUUUUUUCUGCCUAUAAGAGGCUUCCCUUACCCCUUCCGAACAGGAGAAGGUGAGAGCAUGGAGCCAAGGUUGGUUAUCUCAGAGACUUUAGGCACCUUGAAUAGUUAUUCUGUCCCUAAACGAUUACAAGAGGAUGAGACUGCUUGAGAGUUCUGCCAAGCUCCUAUGUGGUCUUUGGCAUUUCCAUGGUCGUGAGUUUCAUUUUGCUUUGGUUCCUAGCUCCAGUUCGUCUCUCUUGAAGACUCUGGGUGAUGCUUGUUAUGGUGACUUACGUUCGCUGCCUUCGUGACUUGUCCAAGCUCCUCUAGCACAAGUGCAGUGCCAACUCCAACUAGGGUUUCAACUGUCAUGGGCUUGGACAGUCCAGGAUCAAUUUUUUUUUUUUAAUCUUAAUUGGGCUUGCUGUUGCCUGCUAGGCUUGUAUAUUACUAGCUAGUGGGCCUUGUAAUUCCACUAUUAUUAAUGAAAUCAUCUUUGCCUCUUAAAAAAAUAUA